AUGGAGGACGAUCUGCAGGAGUUUUUAAGGUCACGAGAUGUUCCAGAAGAGGACAUCAUCUUCAUGAAAAGGGACAAGAGAAAAGUAAGGACAGAAGCCCAGAGUACAAGAGGAAUGGAGGAUGUUCCACAGAGUGGUUAUACCUUAGAGACACCCAGCACAUCACACGACUCUCUUUCAACACCCAGAGAUAUCCAAAGAACACACACCAUCCAAAGACUUGCAAGCAGCUCAAGUGAUGAGGAGACUGAUGAAUUGGGGAGAUGGUGUGCACAGCUAUCGAAAAGACCACAGCAUACACAUGAGCUCUUUGAUUUUCAGAUAAGCUAUGAAAUCAUUGACUUGACCAAUCAGAUUCCUCCGCUACAAAACAGCAUAGUUCAGAAUCUUGGAGAUGAUGAUGAUAAAGAAGACACAGUUGAAUGGAAUGAAGGCGAAGAACUUGAACAAACAGAUGAGGACCAAGAUGUUAAAAUAACAUGGAAUGAGAACAUCAUACAGGUAAUGUGGUCCUGAUGGACCGAAUGCCACAGUAUAGAUUUGAAAAAUAAAUAUUCAAACUACAAGCA
ensembl:lncRNA